rnacentral:rRNA from 1 species
ACACUCCUACGGGAGGCAGCAGUGGGGAAUUUUGGACAAUGGGCGAAAGCCUGAUCCAGCAAUGCCGCGUGUGUGAAGAAGGCCUUCGGGUUGUAAAGCACUUUUGUCCGGAAAGAAAUCCUUGGCUCUAAUACAGUCGGGGGAUGACGGUACCGGAAGAAUAAGCACCGGCUAACUACGUGCCAGCAGCCGCGGUAAUACGUAGGGUGCGAGCGUUAAUCGGAAUUACUGGGCGUAAAGCGUGCGCAGGCGGUUUGCUAAGACCGAUGUGAAAUCCCCGGGCUCAACCUGGGAACUGCAUUGGUGACUGGCAGGCUAGAGUAUGGCAGAGGGGGGUAGAAUUCCACGUGUAGCAGUGAAAUGCGUAGAGAUGUGGAGGAAUACCGAUGGCGAAGGCAGCCCCCUGGGCCAAUACUGACGCUCAUGCACGAAAGCGUGGGGAGCAAACAGGAUUAGAUACCCUUGUAGUCCCAUGA